GAGAUUAAUAUGAUGUGAAAGUUGUGGUGACACUAAACUGUAGACAUAAGGCUGAUAUUAUACUGAUCCACACUGAGUAUCUUAAUGCUAAAGUACAUUUUCUUCUUCAGUGGUUUAGUCCAUUGACUUUGGCAGAGCAAUGUUGAUCUAGACAUUUAAAACCUUAAUAUAUCACAACUCUUGACUUUCAUCUUGUUAAAAUAAAUUAU